CAUGCGGGGCGGUGGGGGUGCGCGGCACCGGGGCGGCGCGGCGUCGGCAGGCGGAUAUCGACGCCGAUGUGCGCGCGAGGACCUUGUGCGUGCAACUGCGGCGUGGCGUCCUGCGCGCCAGGUGCAAACCGCGCGCGCGCAGUGGUGCGGAGCUGCCCUUCGGCGGCGGCGGCGGUCUGGUGCGCGUUCCCGACGUGUCGACGCCUUGUCGGUUCCGCCGUAGACAGCGGGGCUGGCCUGUGACACGGACGGUUUACAAACCUGCGAUCGAAAUCGCUCACGAUUCGAUCGCUCCGUUCCGAAAGGGAGGCACGAUCCACUGUCGACGAGUGAAUAUAUGCGUGUUCGUGCGCGCCCCACUCAUGAGGAGGAAGCUUGCUGCACGUGGUUCAAUGCCUUCUCUGUACUAGUACACAGGCACAGCUCCGGUGCAUGCAUGUGGUCAGCCCCCCGUCCCGUCGGUUGCACGCACGAGUGCUGUAUAUUGGAUUCUUCUUUUUUUAUAGUAGCUUUUCCUUUUCGCUUCAGCCUGAAUAUCAUCGACACCAUCCAUAUUACGUGCAUGACGCCUGUGGUCAGCUAGCUUGCUAUACUGAGCACUAACUGACAAGUCCUUUUACCGUGUGUCGUUAUAAAAGUUUGUAUAAUUAUUGGUAAGGCAUU
rnacentral:lncRNA from 7 species